GGCUAGAGAAGUAACACAUGACAUCUUUCUCUCUCGAAUUAAAAUGUGACUUGGUUCACUGGUAAAAACGAAGAGGGAGAUGGAAAUGACCGGGAGUCGAAAAGAGAAGCAAUCUCCCAUCAAGAGGGAAACCACGGAGAACGGAGGCUGAUGCCCACACUGAGCCCAAAAUAGUUCCAAGUAGAUUUGCUUGAACAAAAGAAAAAUGUCAUCAGCACCCAGAGUAGCACAUAGGAAGAAUGUGUGUCUUAGCCUCAGUGAAAAAGGCAUGACAGAUCUUCCCCUAUGGGAGAAAAUAAAAGAAAGCCCCUGUGAACUUGACAAGAUAGCUGCUGAUUCUCUGCCUGAUGGAGAGGACGGAGCUGUGAGAACUGCAUGAGAAAGUAAGAAGUUGCUUCAGUAGCACAACUGCUCUCCCUGUGACGGGCAGUGGUCCAGUUUCAGCAAGGAUGAGCUGAGUACAUACACUGGCCAAACACUGCAUCGGAUGCCAGAGAUGUGAAGACGAGGAGAACAUGGUCCCUAUCCUAAGCACCGCAAAGCUUAGUGGGGAAGGACAAAUGAAACAAACGAUGGAACACAUCGUGAUUGUGGUUGAUGUUAAAAAAGAGCCGAGAUGAAAAGUACUCCGUGGUCAUUAGAGGGAGAAUGGCCAGCUCUAAGGAAGGGUAAGAGCGAAGGCAUCACAUAAGGCAGAAUGCAGAUGCUACUUAGGUCUUCAUGUUGGGUGUGGUCAGCAGUUAUUAAGUGAAAAUGAAAUAAAUUAUGGA